CAGUCGCCGCGGUAAUACGAAGGGGGCUAGCGUUGCUCGGAAUUACUGGGCGUAAAGGGAGCGUAGGCGGACAUUUAAGUCAGGGGUGAAAUCCCAGAGCUCAACUCUGGAACUGCCUUUGAUACUGGGUGUCUUGAGUGUGAUAGAGGUAUGUGGAACUCCGAGUGUAGAGGUGAAAUUCGUAGAUAUUCGGAAGAACACCAGUGGCGAAGGCGACAUACUGGAUUAUUACUGACGCUAAGGCUCGAAAGCGUGGGGAGCAAACAGGAUUAGAUACCCGGGUAGUCCCUGUCUCUUAUAC
rnacentral:rRNA from 1 species